rnacentral:lncRNA from 1 species
UAACAAUUUGCCAUGAUAUAAUAACAUAAACCAAACAUUGAAAAUGGUGCAAUUCACACAACAAAAGCACAAAUUGAGAAUCGACAUACACAGGAUAUGUGCAAUCGUGGGUCAAUCCCCGAUUACUGAAACAACUACACGGGCCACGUUCAUGUUACUACAAGAAAUUGAAAAACAAGCCAUGUCGAUUAUGCAAUUCUAGUAGCUAUUAUAACACCCGCAAACAUGUCAACAACCACCUAAACACAAAUUUAAGUUGCGAAGUAUCAGAAAACAACACAAAAUCAACAAACCACGCAUCUUAAUUGCAUUUUUUGCAAUAUAUGACACGACAACUCUAGGACACAAGAAAUUGAUAGAGCAAUAAUCAAUUCGGCAUCUUUCACAUCUCACAGUUUUGUGUGCCAUAGUUGUGAAAUCACGGCGGCAAAUAAUCACAGUUUUGUUGGGUUGAAGCCAUGUCCAUGAAGUCCUAGAUGUCAAUCGCAACUCGCCCGAGUCGCCACUUGCAAUUAAACAGCGAUUCUCGGCGAUUGUUCCGCUUAUGUCGUGAACUGGGAACAAUUUGAGGGCUUUUGAAUUCAGCAAAUUUUCUCUCCAAACAGAUGAUAAUAUUCAUUUUUUUUGAAAAUGGCUUAAAUGUUAGUACGAAAUAGAGAAAUGAUACGCGCGUCAUUUGGGAAUUUGGUUAAGGGUAAAUAUGUAAUUCUA